CUCAAAUUGAAAUUACUUGAAUUUCAUAGGAUAUUUGUUCUUAAAAUGUUCUUAUUGUUUUAUUUUUACUAUGAGUGCAACUUUGUUUCAUCUCAGCCUAUGAAAUUCAAGUAAUUUCAAUUUGAUAUACUGAAAAGAAAAAAUUACAUCUACAAGCUGCUUCGAGGCAAUGUUCACUCACAAAUUAAUCACACUUUGCCUAUCCGGUGGAGCCACGCAUUGCCACAAGGAACGAUAUGCUGGAAUGUUGACUGCCUCGACACCCAGGACGGAGAGGUUGCGUCCAGAACAACUGCAUGCAUAUCUUGUCCGUAUCAGAGACACUGUUGUCUGAGACAUCUGAGCUUGCUCCACCUCGUCGUUGAGCACCCUGCCGUAUUCUCUGGAGUGAAGAUUCUGUUUUCCUAGCCACACUGACGAGUUCAGCAGCCAAUUCAUAAUAACUACCAGUAAUGUUGGUUGCAGCACCAAGCAGUAAUUCAUUCCUAGUUUCCUUGGUUAAAUAGGUCAUAGCUCGCUCUCCAUCCAGAAAACCCUUUAAAGGACGCAACACCCCUGACACGUAGGGUGAAUGUCUAACAGGAAGAGGUUUAUUAGUCAUCCUGUAAGUUGCAGUUAUUCCCUUCACCUGUCUCAAGUCCUCAACAGCCUUAUCAACUAGUGCCUCUAUGAUGGCGUUGAUGGCAAGAGGUGCUAAAUCAUUUAAUGACUUUCCACCUUGUAAGAUGCUUUGUUUUACUAGAUCAAGAAUGUCGGCAGAACAUGAAGACAGGCAUUGAAGUACAUGAUCAACGUAGUCUCCGCAAACCUCUUUGGCCAGGCAAGUUAUGUCAUGAAUAAUAUAAACAAAAUCAUCGGGUAUAGCUGAAAUAGCCCAUUCAUAUCCAGAAUAGGAUCCUGUAUUACUUGUCUUCCGGGCAGCCAGACCAGAUGAUAACCAAUUUGAAUAUCUUGCAAGAAGCUGUAACGAUAAGCGAAGAAACUUGUCCGAGCAUGAGAGGAUGAGUACAUCUUCUCUCCAACAAGAUCUCAAGCUCUCCAAAAGAGUGGCGCUUUGCUUUAAUGUUAGGUCUUGCAAAUUUCCAUGACCAGAAUGUGAAUUCUGAACUGGGACAAGACUGGUUGCCGCAAGUGCUGAAUCCAGAGCCCCCGCUAUUUCCUGAAAUCGUAAAGAGAAAUAAACCCCAACAUUCCACUGCUUCAUGAACUCAGCAUAUACAGCUUCUGAUCGAAAUUUGGCGACUGCUGAUCUGGAUGGACAAUAGCCUUCAAGAUGAGCCAAGAAAUCUAGGCUUGACUUGUAAUUCAUCAGAAAUUCAGUUGGUCUUCCAGGGGAAAAGGCACCUGGCUUUCCCUUUUGAAUUGCUGAGAGAACCUCUUUCAAGAUUGAGUUGGCCAAGAAGUCAAAGACAUGCAGACCUGAAUUCUCUGCAGAAGAAAUUUCCAAAAGGAAUUUACAGUCUUUUUGAAUGAAUUGUUUAAUUUGGAGAUAAUCAUUUUCCAGUCCAUCUCCAGAUGCACCAGCAACCAUUCCUAAUGGUCCGUGUGGAAUAAUUUUCUGCAUUAGUGGAGCAACAAUAGUAGUGCGAAAAAUUUCUUCUGCACUCUUGGUGUUAUCAAUGGCAGCGUAUGCACGUAAACAAUUGUAUAUUGCAUUUNNNNNCCCAUCUAAAAAACAAUGUCCCAAACUUGCAUCCAACAAAAGGCUUGCACUUUGAAUUCUCUUCUCCAUAUUGUCAAUAAAAGGAAGGUUCUGUGUAUGAGCCAUAUAGAAUUUUAGCCGAUUCAUCUCACUGGCAAUUCUCUCCAGAAGCAUGCUUUGAGUCUCCCUGAAAUUUGUUCCAUUCUCAAUGGGUUGUAAGGAAGUGCCAUUGCUCAUAGCAUUCUUUAUACUUGAACUCAAAUCUCCAUUUGACCAGUCAGCUGGCACACUUGGUAGCUCCUUUAUAAGUUUCUCAACCUUAGAGACUACGUGAAACGUAUCCAACAAUAGCUCCAACACCUCUCUCGCUGCGGCUGCCUCCGAUCUCUGCUGCAAUCCAUUCCUCAAAGCCACAAGAGACGCAUCCACGCUUCCUCUAAAUCCCUCGAUCUUCUCCCGGAGCUCCAGUAGCGGGGCCCGCAUGCGCACCACAGCAGCGUCCACCUCGGCAAGCUUGGU
rnacentral:misc_RNA from 1 species